AAGAUUCUCGCGGCUGCCAAGUACAAGCUGAAUGUGGACCAGAAGGUUAUUCAGGCGGGCAUGUUUGACCAGAAGUCAUCCAGCCAUGAGCGGAGGGCAUUUCUACAGGCCAUCCUGGAGCACGAAGAGGAGAAUGAGGAAGAAGAUGAGGUACCAGACGACGAGACCCUGAACCAGAUGAUUGCUCGCCGGGAAGAAGAGUUUGAUCUUUUUAUGCGCAUGGACAUGGACCGGCGGAGAGAGGACGCCAGAAACCCGAAGCGCAAGCCUCGCUUGAUGGAGGAAGAUGAGCUGCCCUCCUGGAUAAUUAAGGAUGAUGCUGAAGUGGAAAGGCUCACCUGCGAAGAGGAGGAGGAGAAGAUAUUUGGGAGGGGCUCUCGCCAGCGCCGGGAUGUGGACUACAGCGAUGCCCUCACCGAGAAGCAGUGGCUCAGGGCCAUCGAAGACGGAAAUUUGGAAGAAAUGGAAGAGGAGGUACGGCUGAAGAAGAGGAAAAGACGAAGAAACGUGGAUAAAGAUCCCGUGAAGGAAGAUGUGGAAAAAGCAAAGAAAAGAAGAGGCCGCCCCCCAGCUGAGAAGUUGUCACCAAAUCCCCCCAAACUGACGAAGCAGAUGAACGCCAUCAUUGAUACUGUGAUAAACUACAAGGACAGGAAAGAAUCCGUAAUCAUAAGUACCGAAGCCUGGGAGACCUGGAGAAAGAUGUCAUGCUUCUCUGUCACAAUGCACAGACAUUCAACUUGGAAGGAUCC
rnacentral:lncRNA from 1 species